CAGUAGCCGCGGGAAUACGAAGGGGGCUAGCGUUGUCCGGAAUUAUUGGGCGUAAAGCGUGCGCAGGCGGUUGUGUAAGACAGGUGUGAAAUCCCCGGGCUUAACCUGGGAACUGCGCUUGUGACUGCACAGCUAGAGUAUGGCAGAGGGGGGUGGAAUUCCACGUGUAGCAGUGAAAUGCGUAGAGAUGUGGAGGAACACCGAUGGCGAAGGCAGCCCCCUGGGCCAAUACUGACGCUCAUGCACGAAAGCGUGGGGAGCAAACAGGAUUAGAUACCCCUGUAGUCCCUGUCUCUUAUAC
rnacentral:rRNA from 1 species